CUGACCUCAUGUGAUCCACCCACCUCGGCCUCCCAAAGCAUUGGGAUUACAGGAGUGAGCCACUGCACCCAGCCUGAAGCUAUAUUUUUAUAUGGAUACAAUUUAGAAGUAUUAUGUCCUCCUGGGACCCAGGCAGGAAGAAUAGUCAAUCCCAUCCAGGACAUGCUCUUCUUGUGGCAGAGGGAGAGAGCAAUGGUUCUGAAAGCUGUGCUCAGGAGUGCACGCAUAACCUCCAGUCACAUUUCAGUGACCAAGCCUGACAUCCAUGGGAUGGGAAGUAAACCCUCUCACAGGAACAGCCACAAAAUUAUUGAAAACAACAAUAUAAGCUACCACAUAUUUCUAGAAAUGCUUUUUUUUUGAGACGGAGUCUCACUUUGUUGCCCAGGCUGGAG
rnacentral:lncRNA from 10 species